rnacentral:rRNA from 1 species
GAUGAACGCUGGCGGCGUGCCUAAUACAUGCAAGUCGAGCGAACGGACGAGAAGCGUGCUUCUCUGAUGUUAGCGGCGGACGGGUGAGUAACACGUGGAUAACCUACCUAUAAGACUGGGAUAACUUCGGGAAACCGGAGCUAAUACCGGAUGAUAUUUUGAACCGCAUGGUUCAAAAGUGAAAGACGGUCUUGCUGUCACUUAUAGAUGGAUCCGCGCUGCAUUAGCUAGUUGGUAAGGUAACGGCUUACCAAGGCAACGAUGCAUAGCCGACCUGAGAGGGUGAUCGGCCACACUGGAACUGAGACACGGUCCAGACUCCUACGGGAGGCAGCAGUAGGGAAUCUUCCGCAAUGGGCGAAAGCCUGACGGAGCAACGCCGCGUGAGUGAUGAAGGUCUUCUGAUCGUAAAACUCUGUUAUUAGGGAAGAACAUAUGUGUAAGUAACUGUGCACAUCUUGACGGUACCUAAUCAGAAAGCCACGGCUAACUACGUG